UACGUAGGUGGCAAGCGUUGUCCGGAAUCACUGGGCGUAAAGCGCGCGCAGGCGGCGAUCUACGUCUGGGGUGAAAGCCCGGAGCUCAACUCCGGGACUGCCUUGGAUACGGGAUCGCUUGAGGAUUGGAGAGGCAAGGGGAAUUCCACGUGUAGCGGUGAAAUGCGUAGAUAUGUGGAGGAACACCUGUGGCGAAGGCGCCUUGCUGGCCAAUUUCUGACGCUGAGGAGCGAAAGCAUGGGGAGCGAACAGG
rnacentral:rRNA from 1 species